rnacentral:rRNA from 1 species
AGUGAACGCUGGCGGCGUGCCUAAUACAUGCAAGUCGAACGGAGUGGCGCAAGGGGGAGUAAUAUAUAGCUAAUCUGCACCUUGAUGGAGGACAAAAGUGAGAAAUGACUGCUAAUACUCCAUAGCAAGGGAUGAGACUAUAUCGUAUCAGCUAGUCGGUGGGGUAACGGCCUACCGAGGCUAUGACGCGUAACUGGUCUGAGAGGAUGAUCAGUCACAUUGGACCUGAGACACGUUCCAAACUCCUACGGGAGGCAGCAGUAGGGAAUAUUGCGCAAUGGGGGCAACCCUGACGCAGCAACGCCGCGUGGAGGAUGACACUUUUCGGAGCGUAAACUCCUUUUGUUAGGGAAGCGGUACCUAACGAAUAAGCACCGGCUAACUCCGUGCCAGCAGCCGCGGUAAUAC